UUUUUCCGUUAUCAUUCUAUUGAUAUUAAAAGAAAUUGAAGGAGUUGAAUGCACUCUAAAAUUAUUUUCUCUAAAGUUACACGGAAAAUAUAUUUUUUUCAAGAGAGAAAAAUAACAAUAACAAUAACUUUAAAAUCUCAAAAUGUUUUUGCCUUAAAAAAUCGGUAAUCCAAAAAGGCUUCCAAGAAAAAUAUAAGAGUGUAAGGAUGUUUAAAUAUAAAAAUCAAACAACAAAAUUUACAAAUUCGCGAGUUAGAAAGAUCACCUACGAAAACAUGAUUAAAUGAAUUAAAUGAAUUAUAAAAAACGAUAUUUAGAUAUUCAGAUCAAAAUAAAAAAAUGGGUAUUAGAGGGUUAAAUGCUGCCAAUUCGUUUACUUUUCCACGUUUCGUUCAUUCAACGUUUUGGUAUUCGACGUAGCUUCAAAUGCUCUCAAAGUUUGCUGAUAAAUUUGGCCGAAUUAUGCAAUUGGAUUUUUUUUUCUCUGGAUGGAAUGCUCAUGUUUCUUAUUAGGGACCUUAGUGUAAUACUUCAUGAGGCAUUAACUAAUUGUCUUUAUUUUCUUUAAUGCAUUCUAUUUGGAAAAAUGUUUCGGCAUUUAUGGUAACCCGUUCAUAUCAAUUUAUCAAUUGUACAUUAAUCUCUGCUUCUUUCUCAACAGAUGCAUCUUCACUAACGUCGAUCCGGAAACGGGCAUUCCCAGCUCACAAGGCGAGCCACUGAAGACGUUGAAAACAUACCGCAAGAAGCCCGGUCUAGGGGACUCACCCGUUGUCGGCAUGCAGAUGGGCAUUCGCAAGGAAGGCACCGUUCGUCUCGGUGAGACGGUCUAUGUCGGUUGCUAACAUCCCCCGCGUUUCGGAGCUGCCGCCAUCAUCGUCAUAUUCGUCACUACUAGUUGCCAUGCCACAUCUGUAUGUUCUUUUGUAUUGAUUUUUAUGUUGUGAAGGGGAUUGACGUGUGUUGGUUCACGUGAUCGAACUCAGCACGGAAAUCAGAAGGAGCUCGACAGUAUUUUUUUGCUUUUUUAAUGCAAAUAAAUUCUAACGUUAUGUA